rnacentral:rRNA from 1 species
UACAGAGGUCCCAAGCGUUGUUCGGAUUCACUGGGCGUAAAGGGUGCGUAGGCGGUCGGGUAAGUCUGAUGUGAAAUCUCACAGCUUAACUGUGAAACUGCAUUGGAUACUAUCCGGCUAGAGGAAUGGAGGGAGACUGGAAUACUUGGUGUAGCAGUGAAAUGCGUAGAUAUCAAGUGGAACACCAGUGGCGAAGGCGAGUCUCUGGACAUUUCCUGACGCUGAGGCACGAAAGCCAGGGAGCAAACGGG